rnacentral:rRNA from 2 species
UUUAAUGUUUGAUGUUCUAACGUGGACCCGUAAUCCGGGUUGCGGACAGUGUCUGGUGGGUAGUUUGACUGGGGCGGUCUCCUCCUAAAGAGUAACGGAGGAGCACGAAGGUUGGCUAAUCCUGGUCGGACAUCAGGAGGUUAGUGCAAUGGCAUAAGCCAGCUUGACUGCGAGCGUGACGGCGCGAGCAGGUGCGAAAGCAGGUCAUAGUGAUCCGGUGGUUCUGAAUGGAAGGGCCAUCGCUCAACGGAUAAAAGGUACUCCGGGGAUAACAGGCUGAUACCGCCCAAGAGUUCAUAUCGACGGCGGUGUUUGGCACCUCGAUGUCGGCUCAUCACAUCCUGGGGCUGAAGUAGGUCCCAAGGGUAUGGCUGUUCGCCAUUUAAAGUGGUACGCGAGCUGGGUUUAGAACGUCGUGAGACAGUUCGGUCCCUAUCUGCCGUGGGCGCUGGAGAACUGAGGGGGGCUGCUCCUAGUACGAGAGGACCGGAGUGGACGCAUCACUGGUGUUCGGGUUGUCAUGCCAAUGGCACUGCCCGGUAGCUAAAUGCGGAAGAGAUAAGUGCUGAAAGCAUCUAAGCACGAAACUUGCCCCGAGAUGAGUUCUCCCUGAGACUUAGAGUCUCCUGAAGGAACGUUGAAGACGACGACGUUGAUAGGCCGGGUGUGUAAGCGCAGCGAUGCGUUGAGCUAACCGGUACUAAUGAACCGUGAGGCUUAACCUU